ACGAAGUAUUAUAGGUUAGGUUCAGAAAAAAAGUACAAUCACAAGCCACAGACUAUUUGUUGUACUUUGUGACCUAAUCUCUUCUUCUUGCUUUUCUCUCCUCUCUCAAAAAUAUAAACAAAUUAAUAGAUCUAGAUUGUUAAUCGAUCUCAUGUUUGUCUUCGAUCUAAAAUCAAGAAGAACACACGAAUUUUGGAAUCAACAAUUUUGAAACAUGUACACCGAUCCUAUUCAGAGGCUUUUGUGUGCUCUGAUGUUUCAACCAACUUUUUGUCAAAUUCUCCCUGGCACACAUUGCAUUUCCAUGUACUUUUAGACUCUUUGUUGCAUCUGUUUUUGUAUUUUAUGGGAUCAUUGUUCUUUCCCUUGUUGUUUCCUCCUCUUUUAGGUUUAGUCAUCUACAAAACAGGGUUAUUUCAUCCAUAAAAUCAAUAUUAAGCAAACUUGAUUUGAUUAAACCGGUUUGGA